rnacentral:rRNA from 1 species
GUGCCAGCAGCCGCGGUAAAACGUAGGGGACAAGCGUUAUCCGGAUUUACUGGGCGUAAAGCGCCCGUAGGCGGCCUGUCAAGUUGGACGUGAAAGCUCCUGGCUUAACUGGGAGAGGCCGUUCAAAACUGACAAGCUAGAGUCUGGAAGAGGAGCGUGGAAUUCCCGGUGUAGUGGUGGAAUGCGUAGAGAUCGGGAGGAACACCAGUGGCGAAAGCGACGCUCUGGUCCAAAACUGACGCUGAGGGGCGAAAGCGUGGGGAGCGAACGGGAUUAGAUACCCGUGUAGUCC